rnacentral:rRNA from 1 species
UACGAAGGGGGCUAGCGUUGCUCGGAAUCACUGGGCGUAAAGCGCACGUAGGCGGAUCUUUAAGUCAGGGGUGAAAUCCUGGAGCUCAACUCCAGAACUGCCUUUGAUACUGAGGAUCUCGAGUCCGGGAGAGGUGAGUGGAACUGCGAGUGUAGAGGUGAAAAUUCGUAGAUAUUCGCAAGAACACCAGUGGCGAAGGCGGCUCACUGGCCCGGUACUGACGCUGAGGUGCGAAAGCGUGGGGAGCAAACAGG